CUACGGGAGGCAGCAGUGGGGAAUAUUGCGCAAUGGGCGAAAGCCUGACGCAGCAACGCCGCGUGCGGGAUGACGGCCUUCGGGUUGUAAACCGCUUUCAGUGGGGACGAAAUCAGACGGUACCCACAGAAGAAGCCCCGGCCAACUACGUGCCAGCAGCCGCGGUAACACGUAGGGGGCGAGCGUUGUCCGGAUUUAUUGGGCGUAAAGAGCUCGUAGGCGGCUCGGUAAGUGAGGUGUGAAAACUCCAGGCUCAACCUGGAGACGCCACCUCAUACUGCCGUGGCUAGAGUCCGGUAGGGGAGCAUGGAAUUCCUGGUGUAGCGGUGAAAUGCGCAGAUAUCAGGAGGAACACCAGUGGCGAAGGCGGUGCUCUGGGCCGGAACUGACGCUGAGGAGCGAAAGCGUGGGGAGCAAACAGGAUUAGAAACCCCGGUAGUCC
rnacentral:rRNA from 1 species